rnacentral:ncRNA from 1 species
GUUUCAGGGCGGAGUGAAAGUCUCCACCGGCGGUAAGAGUCCGCGAACCGUCCCCUAGCAGGGGCGGCCGAACCGGUGAAAUUCCGGUACCGACGGUUACAGUCCGGAGGGAAGAAA